CAGCCGCCGCGGGAAUACGGAGGGUGCAAGCGUUAAUCGGAAUUACUGGGCGUAAAGCGUGCGUAGGCGGUUCGUUAAGUCUGUUGUGAAAGCCCCGGGCUCAACCUGGGAAUGGCAAUGGAUACUGGCGAGCUAGAGUGUGUCAGAGGAUGGUGGAAUUCCCGGUGUAGCGGUGAAAUGCAUAGAGAUCGGGAGGAACACCAGUGGCGAAGGCGGCUCACUGGACUGGUAUUGACGCUGAGGUGCGAAAGCGUGGGGAGCAAACAGGAUUAGAGACCCCCGUAGUCCCUGUCUCUUAUAC
rnacentral:rRNA from 1 species